rnacentral:lncRNA from 1 species
UUUUGGUAGGGGAAAGGAGGAGAGGUUACAGAAGGCUUACUCGUGUUGGAGGGAGGAAGGGAGGCUGUAGAACAUGGAAGCCAAUUCUCCUGAUCCAAUGAGUCUGUUUCAAGGACUGCUCUGGCCUGGACUUUGGGUCCUGUGGCCUAGAAGUAAAGGGACCAGAUUUUAGUCAGGCCUCAGGACAGAAGCCAAGCCAGUCAAAUCAGGAGGAGGUGCGUGAGGUAUGUGUGUAUGUCUGCGGGUGGGGAGAGGUGUCAUGUGGGGACCAGGAGCUGCCCAAUAUUGAG